CCCCAUCUGUGCGCAUCUUGGGCCCCAGCCUUUGCAAGCGCCCUUGUCGUCUGGGUUUCGCCAGUUGGGGCUGUGCGCGCUCCUGCCCUUCUUGGGGUUUUGGGCCGCGGCACUGCCGCGCGCCCGCGGUCCCGGCCUCUCCCUGGAUCGCGCUGUCCCCUCUCCCUCGCGCGCCCCCACUCCCGUUACUCGCUCCCCCCCCCCACAUACUGGCGCGCGUGCGCAGUCCAUCUCCCGUUGGGAGAGUGCGCCACAAGGGCUCCUGAGCUCUUACCCCCAUCUCUGGAUUUUGCUCCCUCCUUCUCCUCUCCCAUUCCAUGACUUUUUGCCCCCACUGCAAGCGAGUCAGUCCAUCAGCUCCAUUCCCCACUUGGCAGGAACAAGUUGGGGGUUAGUGUCCACCCACAAAAAGGACUAGACACUAUGUUCCUAGGUCCCACAACUCAUCAUAAAGAGAUGGUUGUAGUUCUCAUCAGGAACCGUGGGCUAGGGACUGUGCGUUCCUCAGCACUCGAAGCUCUUCCGUGAGACCAUGCCCGCAGGGUGCUCUGGUUCUUUGGGGAUGCUGUACUGUGGCUUCGGAAUAUGAGCGUCUUCCCACCCUCCCUCCCCUCCCUUCGCCAGCGAUCAUCCAGUUACAUAAGUGGAAUGGGACUUUGUAUGUAAUGGGCUCUCUUGGUCCUGGAGUGCUCAGGAUCUCCAGUACCAAACAUCGCUAUGACUCCUCUGUCAAUUAUCUCUGAAAGUUCAUUCUCUUUUUAGUUCGGUUAUGACUGAAUCACUUAAAAUAAAACACAGGUGACUUUU
rnacentral:lncRNA from 1 species